AGAGUUUGAUCAUGGCUCAGGACGAACGCUGGCGGCGUGCCUAACACAUGCAAGUCGAACGGGACCAGGGGCAACUCUGGUUCAGUGGCGGACGGGUGCGUAACACGUGAGGAACAUGACUUUCGGCGGGGGAUAGCCGGCCCAACGGCCGGGUAAUACCGCGUACGACCACAUGGGGACAUCCCCGCGUGGUGAAAGCAGCAAUGCACCGAAAGAGUGCCUCGCGGCCUAUCAGCUAGUUGGUGGGGUAACGGCUCACCAAGGCGACGACGGGUAGCUGGUCUGAGAGGAUGGCCAGCCACAUUGGGACUGAGACACGGCCCAGACUCCUACGGGAGGCAGCAGUGGGGAAUAUUGCGCAAUGGGCGAAAGCCUGACGCAGCGACGCCGCGUGUGGGAUGACGGCCUUCGGGUUGUAAACCACUGUCGGGAGGGACGAAUGCGCCGCAAGGCGAGUGACGGUACCUCCAAAGGAAGCACCGGCUAACUCCGUGCCAGCAGCCGCGGUAAUAC
rnacentral:rRNA from 1 species